rnacentral:rRNA from 1 species
CCUACGGGAGGCAGCAGUGAGGAAUAUUGGUCAAUGGACGAGAGUCUGAACCAGCCAAGUAGCGUGAAGGAUGACUGCCCUAUGGGUUGUAAACCUCUUUUAUAUGGGAAUAAAAUGUUCCACGUGUGGGAUUUUGUAUGUACCAUAUGAAUAAGGAUCGGCGAACUCCGGGCCAGCAGCCGCGGUAAUACGGAGGAUCCGGGCGUUAUCCGGAUUUAUUGGGGUUAAAGGGAGCGUAGGUGGAUUGUUAAGUCAGUUGUGAAAGUUUGUGGCUCAACCGUAAAACUGCAGUUGAAACUGGCAGUCUUGAGUAUAGGAGAGGUAGGUGGAAUUCGUGGUGUAGCGGUGAAAUGCUUAGAGAUCACGAAGAACACUGAUUGCGAAGGCAGUUUACUGGACCGUAACUGACACUGAGGCUCGAAAGCGUGGGUAGCAAACAGGAUUAGAUACCCCUGUAGUC